UACGUAGGGUGCAAGCGUUGUCCGGAAUUAUUGGGCGUAAAGAGCUCGUAGGCGGUCUGUCGCGUCUGCUGUGAAAACCUAGGGCUUAACUCUGGGCGUGCAGUGGGUACGGGCAGGCUAGAGUGCGGUAGGGGAGACUGGAAUUCCUGGUGUAGCGGUGGAAUGCGCAGAUAUCAGGAAGAACACCCGUGGCGAAGGCGGCUCUCUGGAACGCAACUGACGCUGAGACGCGAAAGCGUGGGGAG
rnacentral:rRNA from 1 species